rnacentral:rRNA from 1 species
AACGAACGCUGGCGGCAGGCUUAACACAUGCAAGUCGAGCGCCCCGCAAGGGGAGCGGCAGACGGGUGAGUAACGCGUGGGAAUCUGCCCAUCACUACGGAACAACUCCGGGAAACUGGAGCUAAUACCGUAUACGUCCUUCGGGAGAAAGAUUUAUCGGUGAUGGAUGAGCCCGCGUUGGAUUAGCUAGUUGGUGGGGUAAUAGCCCACCAAGGCGACGAUCCAUAGCUGGUCUGAGAGGAUGAUCAGCCACACUGGGACUGAGACACGGCCCAGACUCCUACGGGAGGCAGCAGUGGGGAAUAUUGGACAAUGGGCGCAAGCCUGAUCCAGCCAUGCCGCGUGAGUGAUGAAGGCCCUAGGGUUGUAAAGCUCUUUCACCGGUGAAGAUAAUGACGGUAACCGGAGAAGAAGCCCCGGCUAACUUCGUGCCAGCCGCCGCCGUAACAC